rnacentral:rRNA from 1 species
GACGUAGGGCGCGAGCGUUGUCCGGAUUUAUUGGGCGUAAAGAGCUCGUAGGCGGCUUGUCGCGUCGACUGUGAAAACCCGCGGCUCAACCGCGGGCCCGCAUUCGAUACGGGCAGGCUAGAGUUCGGUAGGGGAGACUGGAAUUCCUGGUGUAGCGGUGAAAUGCGCAGAUAUCAGGAGGAACACCGAUGGCGAAGGCAGGUCUCUGGGCCGAUACUGACGCUGAGGAGCGAAAGCGUGGGGAGCGAACAGG